rnacentral:misc_RNA from 1 species
GCAAACUUGGUCAUUUAGAGGAAGUAAAAGUCGUAACAAGGUUUCCGUAGGUGAACCUGCGGAAGGAUCAUUAAUGAUUCUGGCCUCCUGGCCAAAACCUCUUCAGCUGUGCGCCUUGGCUGCACGCUGGCGAACCCUCACACACCAUGUGCGUAUUUCGGUUGUGGCCUGCCGUGGCCGCUUCCGCCUCCCCCACACACAUCACACAACAGUCACCAGAAUGUCCCAAAUCAAACAAAGUAACAACUUUCAACAACGGAUCUCUUGGCUCUCGCAUCGAUGAAGAACGCAGC